rnacentral:rRNA from 1 species
AAUGAACGCUGGCGGCAUGCCUAAUACAUGCAAGUCGAGCGAACGGACGAGAAGCUUCCUUCUCUGGUGUUAGCGGCGGGGGGGUGAGUUACACGUGAAUAACCUACCUAGAGGACUGGGGUAAGUUCGGGAAACCAGAGCUAAUGCCGGAUAAUAUUGGAAGCCGGAGGGUUACAAAGGGGAAUACGGUCUUGCUGUCACUUAAUGGUUGAUCCGCGCGGCAUUAGCUAGUUGGUAAGGUAAAGGCCUACCAAGGCAACGAUGCAUAGCUGACCUGAGAGGGCGACCGGCCACACUGGAACUGAGACACGGCCCAGACUCCUACGGGAGGCAGCAGUAGGGAAUCUUGCGCAAUGGGCGAAAGCCUGACGGAGCAACGCCGCGUGAGUGAUGAAGGUCUUCGGAUUGUAAAGCACUGUUAUUCGGGAAGAAAACCUGUGUACGUAAACGUGCACAUCUUGACGGUACCUAAACAGAAAGCACCGGCUAACUACGUG